CCUUAUGGCCAUACCACCCUGAACGCGCCCAAUCUCGUCUGAUCUCGAAAGCUAAGCAGGGUUGGGACUGGUUAGUACUUGGAUAGGAGACCUCACCAUUCUUCUAAGGA
rnacentral:rRNA from 1 species